CAAUAGCGUAUAUUAAAGUUGUUGCAGUUAAAAAGCUCGUAGUUGGAUUUGUGGCGUACGGUGUGUUCCGGGCACUUGUUGUCUGAGUAACCUGCUGUUGCCAUCCUUGGGUGGAACCUGUGUGGCAUUAGGUUGUCGUGCAGGGGAUGCCCAUCAUUUACUGUGAAAAAAUUAGAGUGUUCAAAGCAGGCUUAUGCCGUUGAAUAUAUUAGCAUGGAAUAAUGAGAUAGGACUUUUUUGCUAUUUUGUUGGUUUGCGCAAAGAGGUAAUGAUUAAUAGGGACAGUUGGGGGUAUUCGGAUUCCAUUGUCAGAGGUGAAAUUCUUGGAUUUUUGGAAGACGAACUACUGCGAAAGCAUUUACCAAGGAUGUUUUCAUUAA
rnacentral:rRNA from 1 species